AUUGAACGCUGGCGGCAGGCCUAACACAUGCAAGUCGAGCGGAGCGGCGGACGGGUGAGUAAUGCCUAGGAAUCUGCCUGGUAGUGGGGGAUAACGUCCGGAAACGGGCGCUAAUACCGCAUACUAUCAGAUGAGCCUAGGUCGGAUUAGCUAGUUGGUGGGGUAAAGGCCUACCAAGGCGACGAACCGUAACUGGUCUGAGAUGAUGAUCAGGCACACUGGAACUGAAACACGGUCCAGAAUACUACGGGAGGCAGGAGUGGGGAAUAUGAGACAAUGGACGAAAGCCUGAUCCAGGCCUGCCGCGUGUGUGAAGAAGGUCUUCGGAUUGUAAAGCACUUUAAGUUGGGAGGCGUUACCAACAGAAUAAGCACCGGCUAACUUCGUGCCAGCAGCCGCGGUAAUUC
rnacentral:rRNA from 1 species